rnacentral:rRNA from 1 species
AUUGAACGCUGGCGGCAUGCCUUACACAUGCAAGUCGAACGGCAGCAUGGAGAGCUUGCUCUCUGAUGGCGAGUGGCGAACGGGUGAGUAAUGCAUCGGAACGUACCGUGUAAUGGGGGAUAACGUAGCGAAAGUUACGCUAAUACCGCAUACGACCUGAGGGUGAAAGCAGGGGAUCGCAAGACCUUGCGUUAUACGAGCGGCCGAUAUCAGAUUAGCUAGUUGGUGAGGUAAAGGCUCGCCAAGGCGACGAUCUGUAGCGGGUCUGAGAGGAUGAUCCGCCACACUGGGACUGAGACACGGCCCAGACUCCUACGGGAGGCAGCAGUGGGGAAUUUUGGACAAUGGGGGCAACCCUGAUCCAGCCAUGCCGCGUGAGUGAAGAAGGCCUUCGGGUUGUAAAGCUCUUUCGGCCGGGAAGAAAUCGCACAGGCUAAUACUCUGUGUGGAUGACGGUACCGGCAUAAGAAGCACCGGCUAACUACGUGCCAGCAGCCGCCUAA